rnacentral:rRNA from 1 species
AGAGUUUGAUCAUGGCUCAGGAUGAACGCUAGCGGCAGGCUUAACACAUGCAAGUCGAGGGGUAUAGGUUUUCGGACCUAGAGACCGGCGCACGGGUGCGUAACGCGUAUGCAAUCUACCUUUCACAGAGGGAUAGCCCAGAGAAAUUUGGAUUAAUACCUCAUAGUAUCUAGUUUUCGCAUGGAGACUAGAUUAAAGUUCCAACGGUGAAAGAUGAGCAUGCGUCCCAUUAGCUAGAUGGUAAGGUAACGGCUUACCAUGGCUACGAUGGGUAGGGGUCCUGAGAGGGAGAUCCCCCACACUGGUACUGAGACACGGACCAGACUCCUACGGGAGGCAGCAGUGAGGAAUAUUGGUCAAUGGACGCAAGUCUGAACCAGCCAUGCCGCGUGCAGGAUGACGGUCCUAUGGAUUGUAAACUGCUUUUGUACGAGAAGAAACACUCCUUCGUGAAGGAGCUUGACGGUAUCGUAAGAAUAAGGAUCGGCUAACUCCGUGCCAGCAGCCGCGGUAAUACGGAGGAUCCAAGCGUUAUCCGGAAUCAUUGGGUUUAAAGGGUCCGUAGGCGGUUUAGUAAGUCAGUGGUGAAAGCCCAUCGCUC